rnacentral:rRNA from 1 species
UACGUAGGGUGCGAGCGUUGUCCGGAAUUACUGGGCGUAAAGAGCUCGUAGGUGGUUUGUCGCGUUGUCCGUGAAAACUCACAACUCAAUUGUGGGCGUGCGGGCGAUACGGGCAGACUGGAGUACUGCAGGGGAGACUGGAAUUCCUGGUGUAGGCGGUGGAAUGCGCAGAUAUCAGGAGGAACACCGGUGGCGAAGGCGGGACUCUGGGCAGUAACUGACGCUGGAGGAGCGAAAGCGUGGGGAGCGAACAGGA